rnacentral:tRNA from 1 species
ACUUAUUUAGUUUAAUAAAAGAAUUUUAAAUUGUGAUUUUAAAGGUGCUGUUUAAUGGCUUUAGGUA